ensembl:misc_RNA 7SK 7SK RNA
ACAUCAUUACUUGGCUGCUAUGAUGUCUAAGCAGAUGUCCCCUUCCUUCUAAUAAUGUUAUGUGCUUUCUUCUGAGAGUUACCCACUCCAUUCAAAGAGUACAGAUUUCCAGACAAAGGAUUGUUUGGUCAUGGGUAAAAGGGAUACUUCACUCACCUGCUACAACUGCCACACAAGCUCUCAAGAUCCAUUUGUAGUCUCUGCGGUGCUCAAAUCCUGGUUCAGUCAUUUACUACCUGAAUGAGGUUGGCUAUGUCC